AAUCAAUCUCAAGGAAGCACUCGGGGCACCAGGAUUCCCAGCACUUAGCUGGUGGGCAAAGGGGCUCAUCCCCCUCCCCACAUCCCACCUUCCCUCCUCCCAGUCUUCAGGAGUGCGGAGCUCCUGCCGGGAUCCAAGAGCAGGCUCUUGGUAGUCGAAGAAGGAUAUAACCUCCAGACCUGGAAUUUUAAGACGCAAGAACCAGCCAGCAAAUGUGGCAGCCGAGCAUGCGAAGAUUCAGAGUAGAAAGGAGGAGCCCCACGAGGGCUCCCAUCACUCAAGAAAUUCCCAAGGUUCCAGCUGCUGUGUACCAGGAACAGAUGACAAUGCCCAAAUAUACACAUUCUUUCACCAAACCUAUGGGACCGUGAUGGCUGCUGAAAAAGGAACUGGCUUUUUAUUUGGAAGCUAUGAAACUUGAGGUUCUACUGAAAAGGAGAAGAGGCCGCUGGAGAUUAGGAAGCCAUGAAAAAGACAUCCUCUCACUGGCAUGGAGCACAGCAAGCAGGUUAGGCUGGCUGGCCAUUGAUCUCCAUCCCAUCUAUCUUUGCCUCCUCGGCACUGGGAUUGCGUACACACCCAAGAGUCUUGGCAUGUUUCUUUAUCAUCUCCGUUUCAAGUUUUAUUUUUAUAAAAGUAAGAUAUUGAAUUUCAUUAGUGUUUAAUCAAGGAAGUUGUAAAGGUUUAAAUAUAUUUUCUGUUUUUAUUCAUCUCCUAGUGCGUUUCAAGUAGAACUUUCUAAGAUUUGAGGGCCAACUGUCAGCUUCACAUGUUUUAAACUGACAUGCAUUUGUCCAGAUUUACAAAGUUCAGCAUAGCAAGUUAAUGCAUGAUAUGUAAUAAGUGAUGAUCCAAUUG
rnacentral:lncRNA from 1 species